GAUCUACUGGAAAGACGGUAAAGACCUCACCCUGAAAACCCUGAAGCUGCAGAAAUGUGAGGGCCCUGAAGGUGUCACACCAACCUCUAGGAAGGUGCCCAGCUAGUCUCUCUUCACCUACUUCUCUCCUCCCUGGGGGUAGAGUACUGGAUGUGGCUACUGAGUAUAAAUUGGGUUAUUUUUUUCCGUGAAGUUCCGGUCCCGAAGUCUGUAUUAUACUUCACAAAAGAAGCGAGUGAUUAUCAGUGUGAAGAGUCUGAUGAGGAGGUCCAAGAAGCUGAAGGUGAGGAGGAGGACAGCGAUAAAAAACCAGAAGAAGGACCUGGAAAGGACCUGGACCCAGCAGAGGACAGCCCGGGAGAACCCAGCUGUCAAGCAUAGAAAGACAUGAUGGAGGAAGAAACAAUGGACGUGUCCCUCAUGAAUUUGAGAUUUUCGGCUGCUCAGUAGCCACUGGGAAUUUUAUCAACACUGGUUUUGUUCCAGGUUUCAUCAUGUGAAAUGUCUUAUCCACUGACAUCUGACUUUUUUUCUUACGUUUGUCAGAUAUAUUUGACUGCGUUUGUUCAUGUUAAAAAUAAAAAUUUGC
rnacentral:lncRNA from 1 species